GACGAACGCUGGCGGUGUGCUUAACACAUGCAAGUCGAACGGUAAGGCCCUUUCGGGGGUACACGAGUGGCGAACGGGUGAGUAACACGUGAGUAACCUGCCCUCAUCUCUGGGAUAACAGUCGGAAACGGUUGCUAAUACUGGAUAUGAGCUUGCAAGGCAUCUUGUGGGUUGGAAAGAUUUUUUUGGUUGGGGAUGGACUCGCGGCCUAUCAGCUUGUUGGUGAGGUAGUGGCUCACCAAGGCUUCGACGGGUAGCCGGCCUGAGAGGGCGACCGGCCACAUUGGGACUGAGAUACGGCCCAAACUCCUACGGGAGGCAGCAGUGGGGAAUAUUGCACAAUGGACGGAAGUCUGAUGCAGCAACGCCGCGUGCGGGAUGACGGCCUUCGGGUUGUAAACCGCUUUCAAUUGUGACGAAGCUUUUUUGUGACGGUAGCAGUAGAAGAAGCACCGGCUAACUACGU
rnacentral:rRNA from 1 species